rnacentral:rRNA from 1 species
AACCUGCCUCGGAGUGGGGAAUAACAACAACGAAAAGACGUGCUAAUACCGCAUGAUACAGUUGGGUCGCAUGACUCUGACUGUCAAAGAUUUAUCGCUCUGAGAUGGCCUCGCGUCUGAUUAGCUAGUUGGUGGGGUAACGGCCCACCAAGGCGACGAUCAGUAGCCGGACUGAGAGGUUGACCGGCCACAUUGGGACUGAGACACGGCCCAG